rnacentral:tRNA from 1 species
GCCUGGUUAUCUCAGUUGGUAGAGCAUGAGACUCUUAAUCUCAGGGUCAUAGGUUCAAGCCCCACAUUAGCA